rnacentral:lncRNA from 1 species
GGCGGGGGAAGCUCAUCCGCGGGGCCACCCGCUGAGUGCUCGUCCCUCCCCCGCCCCUGGGGAGAUCAGAGACUGGGGCCUCCAACAGCCCUAACCCGGCUCCCCACGAGCCGGGAGGUGAGUUCCCAGAGAGCAGGGCUCCACAAGUGGGCUGACCCGGGCAGGAGGGCCCUGAGUGGGCAGAUGCCUCCCUCUUGGGAGCUUGGAGCAGGACAAGCAGGGAUGGUGUUAGGCUGCAGGAGAGGCCCGGGUGGCUCUCACAGGGGGUAGAGAUGUGCACUCUCUACAGGCAGGCAGAGACCGGGGAGAUGGGGGUGGGAUGGGGUGGGGAGUUUACUGCCCACACACUUAGAAUCUGAAUCCCCCUCCCUUCCUUCCUAAGACAAGUUCCUCAUUAGCUUCCCAUUUUAACCUUUCUCUGUCCUGGAAAUACUUAAAAAUGUUAAAGAUAUAUUACGUUUAAAAAAUAUGCUUUUGUUUCC